UACGUAGGGUGCAAGCGUUAUCCGGAAUUAUUGGGCGUAAAGAGCUCGUAGGCGGUUUGUCGCGUCUGCUGUGAAAACUGGAGGCUCAACCUCCAGCCUGCAGUGGGUACGGGCAGACUAGAGUGCGGUAGGGGAGAUUGGAAUUCCUGGUGUAGCGGUGGAAUGCGCAGAUAUCAGGAGGAACACCGAUGGCGAAGGCAGAUCUCUGGGCCGUAACUGACGCUGAGGAGCGAAAAGCAUGGGGGAGCGAGCAGG
rnacentral:rRNA from 1 species